GCACGCUUGGGUCAGCUCGGCUCGCAGGCGUCCAGGCUCAAAGGAUCCCCUUCUGCGCCGCCAACCGCCGCCGACCCACCAGCUCCCAUCCCCUUCUUCGCCGAUAACCUCACCACCUCCGCGCUUCGUUCCGACGACCUUCUGGACUCCCGCGGUUGCCGUCCACCGCAGCUGAAUCUGCCGCCGCCGCCACCGGAUUCCGUCUCGACCGUGGCCAUGCCCCGGUCUGCCACCGGAUCCCGUCCAUCCUCGAAUUCUACCCCUGUGCCCGUCCCUGCCUUGGCCGCCCUCCUGUUCCUCUGCCCCGGCCGGCCGUCCGCCGAUUCAGUCCCUGCCAUGGCCAUCCGCUCGAAGAUGAAGAUGAGCUGCUCCUGUGUGGAGGACGGGCAGGAGAGAUCAGAUUGUACCGUCUGUACUGACGAGCAGCCUGAUUUUGAUGGUGAGGGGAGCUACGAUGGGCGUGGCUGUUCUGGCAAUGGAGGAUUGAAUGAUGACAGUGAUCAGUUUGCCAUGGUGUAUGAGAAGGAUUGGGAGAUGGAGAGGGUGCUCGAGUAGCAGGCUGAGCUAAUUGGACAGUAUAAGGCUGAAGAAAAUGCUCAGAUGGAGUGGGAGAAGAAAUUCAGCGAGAGUCCACACAUUCAACAACGGAUAAUGUUAACUUAAACAACAAGCUAAAUCAGACUGAAAAAUGCUAGCUGGAGGAUGGAAACUGCUCAGAUUGUGGAUAAAGAAAUGGUUUGUGAACAUGCAAGAUCAAGUGAGGAUUAUCACAAUCCCUCUGAAUUUCUACCAAAGGGAUCUGUUUCAGAAUUGCCCCCAAAUGUAGCCAAAGAUAGUGUUACUGAGCAGCGUAAAGCUGAUGGGUCUGAUCAUGAUUUUGUAGUGGGCACUAUGAUAGUUGCCUCAAGCCACGGUGAAUUGCAGGUUAGGAAGAAUAUGCUUACAACUAAGAGCUAUCUUGAAGGAAGUGGUAAUAAUCUUGGGAAAUCAGUUCUCCCUCCACAAGCAAGCUGUGAUAGCAUCCUAAAUGCAAGAUAUGACAGAGGUCAAGGAGAUGUAGCAUCCUAAAUGCAAGAUAUGACGGAGGUCAAGGAGAUGAAAAUUCUGACAGUGGUUCAGAAUGGGGAGUGGUUCUUUUCUCCCUGAAUGUUUGAGGUAAAGUGAUGUGCUAACUACUUCUUUUCUUUUGCCAGGUGGUUAAAUUAUCAAGAUUGCUGACACAGUAGCUAGCAAAAAGAUCACGUUUGCUGAAAUACAAGACUAAUAAAUCAAGCACUGAAGGUUGCACUGCUCUGUGUCUCGAACAAUCCAAAGAGCCGUCCACCAAUGAGGGCCGUGGUGAAGAUGCUGCUGGAAGCCAAGGAAGAGAACAAGCGGAUGCUGAAGCUGGCACCUCCGGACAUCUAACUUGAAGCAAGCCCGUAUGAAGAAUAAUGAAUAAAAGAUGUGUUGGCUCUUCUUGGAUAAUGUACUUCAUAUCAAUUGGCAUCAUAUCUAGUUCUGAUAGCAGCUAGCUAGUUCUGAAACAUCACUUGUAACUGUUCUAGCCUUUUGCUCCGAAUGAAAAGUGAUGGUUGCUAUCAA